rnacentral:rRNA from 1 species
GACAGAGGGGGCAAGCGUUGCUCGGAAUUACUGGGCGUAAAGGGCGUGUAGGCGGCCUGCUAAGUCUGAUGUGAAAUCCCCUCGCUCAACUCGGAAACUGCAUUGGAAACUACCUUGCUCGAGGGUUGGAGGGGGGACUGGAAUGCUUGGUGUAGCAGUGAAAUGCGUAGAUAUCAAGCGGAACACCAGUGGCGAAGGCGAGUCCCUGGACAACUCCUGACACUGAGGCACGAAAGCUAGGGGAGCAAACAGG